GCCUCCUGCAGUCUGCCCAAGCAUGAGAACUUAGGAUAGACUUGAAGAGAAGGCUUCAGUUCCCAGAUGUCAUCCAUACUACCUUAAAACCUGAUGCAGUCCUGAAGGAAGUCUGAAUGCUAUUGAGACCCGGUGCAGGACUGUAAGGGACAAAGGCUGGCAGACAUGGUUGUACCCAGUCGAGGUUGGAUGCAGGGGCUUCCCAGCCCAGUCAGCCUGGAAGCUGAUGACAGACUUUGGUCUGAGGGGGACUGAGAGAAACAAGGCUGUGCUGACCUGCCAACAGGAGAGUGUUAUGGUUAAGGGUUGAAACACUUCAGGAUGGUUGGUAACCAUCUGAUGACACAACCUCCUGGCUAAAGGCUCCAGUCAUUGCAAAAUGACUGAAGGAGAAGCAUCCAAAGAUGUAUGUUACCACUUUUACUAAACACAUUUGAUUCAUGUCCUCAGCUCAUUAAUAAAGACUCCAAGAGCUGAAAUGGAUGUUUCAUAUUCAAAGUGUGCACUGUUGGAAAAACAGCUACUCUGUGCACUAGAACUAGCACUAGAAUGCCACAAAAUAAAAUGACAUUAGACUUCCAUUAGUGGGGGCUUUUGAAAAUAGCAGUGUUGAGUUUCAGUGUAGUGUGGUGAAAUGCAACUAAAUGGUCAGUUGGUGAGAUUUGAGGAAGUUAACACCCACAGGAUGAGCUAAUGAUGUUUAAAUGAAGAGCUGUAAAUAUAGAAUGAAAAAAAAGACUGACAGAAACAAAAAAUCACUGAUAAGUGUCACAUGUGUCUGCUGGGACUGAUCAUUCUCACAGGAAAAUUAUACUGGAACAACAGUCUGGGCUGUGAGAUGAGAACAGAGACAAAUUGAGCUUUAACCACUAACCAUCAACCACCUGCUGACUGACGAGAAAACAUCAUUAGCUUGUGAGGGACAAAGACAAACUGAACCACGGUGAUCUGAACUGAAGACAGAGACUGUAGUAACACAUUUCAGUUUCAUUCAGCAACAUGAACGGUGAAAAUCAGACCUUAAAGAAUGAAUACAGUGAUCUUCCUACUGAUUAUGUCCCUAAUAAAACUCAAUAUGAUUCUUCAAAAAUCAGAAUGAGUAUCUUCCUCAUCGCUAGUGUUUGUGUGGGUCUUCCAGCUCUGGUUUGGGCUUUUCGUCUUCUGCACAUUCACAGAAAGAUCAGAGGCCGAAUCUCAGUCUUUAUCCUCCUCCUCCUCCUCAAUGACCUGAUACAAUUGCCCAUUUAUCUAUAUAUAGUGACAUGUAUACUGGCAAAAUACAGAUCCGUUAUCCAUGAGCUUUACCAGUUUUGGUUGGGAUUACAUUGGUGUGGUUUUCAUCUGCAUCAGCUGGUGGCUCUGGAGGGGGUUUUGACUCUAAAAUAUCCGCUUUGUUCU